rnacentral:rRNA from 1 species
AUUGAACGCUGGCGGCAGGCCUAACACAUGCAAGUCGAACGAGUGGCGGACGGGUGAGUAAUGUCUGGGAAACUGCCCGCUGGAGGGGGCUAACUCCUGGAAACGGUAGCUAAUACCGCAUACCCUCGGAUGUGCCCAGAUGGGAUUAGCUAGUAGGUGGGGUAACGGCUCACCUAGGCGACGAUCCCUGGCUGGUCUGAGAGGAUGACCAGCCAAACGGGAACUGAGACACGGUACAGACUCCGACGUGAGGCAGCAGUGGGGAAUAUUGGACAAUGGGCUCAAGCCUGAGGCAGCCAUGACGCGUGUAUGAAGAAGGCCUUCGGGUUGUAAAGUACUUUCAUCGAGGAGGCGUUACUCGCAGAAGAGGCACAGGCUAACUCCGUGCCAGCAGCCGCGGUAAUAC